ACCUCCUGGGGCCCGGUGUGGCUGGUGCUCCUCACUCCUGGUGCACAGAAGAUGGAGCUGGCAGCCCAGGACCCGGGAGGUGCCCUCAGCCCCCUGAAGCCUUCCAUCCAGCAGAGAAGUCAGACAACAAAGCGUCAGUCACAUUUUAAGAAACAGUGACAACAACUAUUCAAAAUAGCCAAAAGGUUGAAGGAACCCAGCUGAUGAACGGAUAAAUCCAAUAUGAUGAAUCUACACUAUGGCCACAGGUGACGACGCCAGUGGAACUUGAAAACAAGCUCAGUGAAGGAAGCCCAGGUAUCAAAGCCACAUAUGGCCUGAUCCCAUUUAUAUGAAAUAUCCAUGGUCCUCAAUUUUGGUGGUGGAGCCAGAGGGGGACAUGGAACAAGGUCAGGGCGGGACCACGCCCAUGGAACGUCAGGCAUCUCCUCUUCAUCACGGGUGGAAAAAGCAAAACCAAUCUUUCCGUCAAGGCUCCACUCUCACGACCACCUCUCCAGCCCGCGGCAAACACCUGAGAGGUCACAGUCACCUGGGCCACCUCUUCCAUUCCCACGGGACUGCUGGCUCCUGGCAGGAAGGGGUUGGUCUUGUCUACCUCUGAGUCAUCCCUGCUGCCUUCAUAUAUGAAGCGGCCAAUAAAUAUCUCCGGGUGGGGUGAUAAAUAGCCGAGGGAAGCCCCUUUGGUCCCAGGGCCAGGGUGAGCUCAGGCAGGGGUGGGAGGAGCACUGGGGAGCAGCAAGGCGGGAGCAGCAAGGCAGGUGCAGCAGCAUCACAGUACUGUUAAGGAAACUGAAACUGAGGGCCGGGGGCGGUGGCUCACGCCUAUAAUCCCAACACUUUGGGAGGCCCAGGCAGGUGGAUCACUUGAGGCCAGGAGUACGAGACCAGACUGGCCAACAUGGGGAAACCCUGUCUCUACUAAAAAUACAAAAAUUAGCAGGCAUGGUGGUGCACGCCUGUAAUCUCAGCUACUAGGAAGGCUGAGGCAGGAGAAUCACUUGAACCAGGAAGGCAGAGGUUGCAGUGAGCUGAGAUUGUGCCAUUGCACCAUCUCUAGCCUGGGCAACAGAGCGAGACUCCAUUUCAAAACAAAGAAACAAAAUAAACUGAAACUGAGAGAGGUUAAGGCCCUGGCCCCAGGUCAAACCAGGAGACUGCCUUGGAGUGGUGCUUUCUCUUUUUCCACACUCUGGGAAGGUGUCUCAGAUCUCCAAGUGAAGGAUGCUGGUGGGUAGAACAGAGGAGAUCUGGAGAGUGACUGGUCCCUUGAAAGAUCCUUGCAAACUCUUUGUGGGCAAUGUAUAGAGAAGGCCACAGACACAGCACAGAGACAGACCCCAUUCCGAGAGCCUGCAGAGCCCUUUCCAAUCUGCAGGGCAUACUCACGACCCCAGCAUGUUCCACUCCUGCCCCUACUCUCAGUCUGUUCUUUUCAUCUGGGCCUUCUAAGGAGUGGGUACCCGGUGGCUUUGUUGUUGUUAAAUUGCUGAGCAAACGUUAUAAUGGGUAAGUGUACAGAGAAAGAAGAACGCUAAGCACUGUGCUAGGCAUUUGACAUGCAUUGCCCCACUUGAUCCUCCCAAGAGCCAUUGUCAUCUCUAUUAUGCCAUCAACCUAAAUAACACACAGAGAGCAGCUCUCUAGAAGAAAAAGAUACUUAUUCAUGAAUAGGGCAUCUCAAUGGGAAGACGCGUGCUGUAGUAAACAAUGUACAUGUGAGGGAAGUAAAGCAAGGCAAAGAGAAUUAAAGAGAAAACAAAAUAAAAUGAAAUAAGGAGGAUUAAAUAAUUGUUCUGAAAUGAUUAUCCUUGGCUACAAGGACCAAUAACAAGGGUGAUGCCAGAGCAGAUAGGCGGUUUCUGAGCAGGUGCCCCUGCAGAAGGUAUCUUUUGUGUAAGGUUGCAAUGACCUCUGUACAAGGUUGUGUUUUUUUGCAGGGUCUUCUGGACAGUUUUUGUUAUCAAGCAUUUAUGCAUAAUAACCCUCUCCUUAUGGUCUUCUCCGGGUUUAUUUGUCAGUGUGGACCCCGUUUUGAUUCUGACAACUGCUGAUGAGGAAACUGAAACUGAGAGAGGUUAAGACCUCUGCCCCAGAUUACCCAGGUGGUAGUUCAAUGUUGGAAAAUGCUCUUACAUGGGCUGUGAGUACUGGCUCCCGGCUCCUGGUUGGAUGGAUGGAACAGAGCCUUCCUGGAGGCAGGGACUGGCCUGCGGGGCCUUCAAGGUCUCUUCUCACUAUAAAUGGGAAUUCAUAGCUGCAGAGGUGGGCAGAACCCAACGGGGGACGGCGCUGCCGUCUGGUGAUGUGAGUUCACCUCAACCCGUAGCUGUCCCUUUAACAUCUGGCGGCAUGAAAAUCAAGGCCAAGGCCAAACAUGUGGGAAGAGCCUCAGCCUCAUUCAUAAUUAAAGAAAUGCAAAUUACAACCACAAAAUAAGAUUUUUCACCCAUCCAACUGGGAAAACAGCAAAGCCUUUUUGGGAACAGGUGCAGUGGAAACAUGAAUAAUAUCUUUAGAUCCUUGCUACUCAAAGCAGGGUUUAAAGACCAGCAGCAUCAGCCUCACCCAGGGCUUGAAAAAAUACAGAUUCCCAGGCACCAGUCAGGACCUGCUGGUUGGAAACUGGAGGUGGGGCCCAGGGAUAUGCAUUCUAACAAGCCCUCCAGGUAAUUCUGAUAUAGCCUGAAGUUCGAGAACCACUGCUUUAGAGGAUAUUUUGACCCAGAAAUUUCACUCCUUUCUUUUUCCUAUUACAUUUUCUGAUUGGUUAUUGCUGGAUUGUGGGAAAACAAUUCGUUCUGUUUAUGUUGAGCUUCUAUCUGGUCAUCUUGCUGAAUUUUCCUACUAGUUCUAAUAAUUUGUCAGUUGAGUCUACUGAAUAUUCUACGUAGAAGAUUCUAUUGCCGGCUGGGCACGGUGGCUCAAGCCUGUAAUCCCAGCACUUUGGGAAGCCGAGGCAGGUGGAUCAUGAGGUCACGAGUUCAAGACCAACCUGGACAAGUGAAACCCUGUCUUUACUAAAAAUACAAAAAUUAGCUGGACGUAGUGGACCAGAGCCUGUAAUCUCAGCUACUCAGGAAGCUGAGGCAGAGAAUUGCUUGAACCCGGAAGGUGGAGGUUGCAGUGAGCAGAGAUCAUGCCACCGCACUCCAGCUUGGGUGAUAGAGCGAGACUCCAUCUCAAAAAAAAAAAAAAAAAAAAAAAAAAGAGAUUCUAUUGUCUGCAAAUAAUGACAAGUAAUAAGAUUUGUCUUGUCCUUUCUAAUAUGUGUAUCUCUUAUUUCUAUUUCUCAUUUUCUCUUCCAUUUGUUAGGACUUGCAGAGCACUAAUAAAAUCUGUUGUGGCUUUUGGGCAUAUUUGGAUAUGAGUUUGUAUUAGUCCGUUCUCUCCCUGCUGUAAAGAAAUACCUGAGACUGGGUAAUUUAUAGAGUUUUAAUUGGCUUACGGUUCUGCAGGCUAUAUAGGAAGCAUAAUGCUGGCAUCCGCUUGCCUUCUGCAGGGGCCUCAGGAAACUUACACUAAUGGCAGAAGGGGAAGGACAAGCAGGCACGUCUUACCUGGCCAGAGCGGGAUCAAGAGAGAGACAGGGUCUAGGGGAGGCGGGGCGGUUUACACACUUUUAAAACAACCAGAUCUCACAAGAACUCACUACCGCAAUGACAGCACCAGGGGGUGGUACUAAACCAGGAGAAACCACCCCUGUGAUCCAAUCACCUCCCACCAGGACCCACCUCCAACACUGGGGAUUACAAUUCAACAUGCAAUUUGGGUGGGGGCGCAGAUCCAAACCAUACCAGGCUCCAAAGAUGCCUGUGCGGGAAUGUUUACUGCAGCAGCAUCUGUAAAGAGUAGAACACUGUAAAAUGCCCCCAAAACACCCAUCAGCAUGGGGCUGGUUGGACGAACCAGGGCCAGGCCAGGCGCAGCGGCUUAUGUCUACAAUCCCAGCAAUUUGGGAGGCCAAGGUGGGCAGAUUGUCUGAGAUCAAGAGUUUGAGACCAGCCUGGUCAACAUGGCAAAACUUCAUCUCUACUAAAAAUACAAAAAAAAAAAAAAAAAUUAACCAGGCA